rnacentral:snRNA from 1 species
AGUUAUGAGUAUGCAACAGAUU